rnacentral:sRNA from 1 species
UGUUAUAGUAAAAUGUAUCGGUCGACCA